ensembl:lncRNA
CUAGACAACUAUACAACCUGCUUAACAGAGACAGACAAGAAAUUUAACUUAUUCUCAUUAAUUAGAAUUUUAUUGGUUGCUUUCAUGGAGUGUUUUUCAAGGGGAAGGAAAACAUGGUGUGCAACUACUUUUAGUGAAUCUUUAUUUAAAAAAAAAAAAAAACUUUGCAAACUCAUUAAUUCCAAGGAGUAAAACAAGACUAAAGCAUCCUCAUCUUUCUUUGUGAUACCAUCUAUAUUCUCUUUGUGUUGUUCCAUUCCUGGAAGGAUAGGAGAGAAAAAAAAUGCCCUUUGUUUCAGUGGAACCCCAGGAAAAGGGAAGCCACAUUUCUGAUGUUAUCUAUUACACUGCAAAAUGUUAUGUAUUUCCCUCAAGGUUCUGUGCCUGCUUUGUCGAGUAUUGUAUAUUUUGUAUCCACACUUCUCCAAGGAAUCAUCAGAGGUUCACAGCUUGGAAAGCAAAUUCUUAGGCUGAGGGAAGAAAUACUAGGUAUCUCUUUGUUGUCCUUGAAAAAUGUCCAAUUCCAGGUAUGUUUUCUUGUGUUGAAACUUUGCAGAAUGAACACUUGUACAAUAAGCACACCUGUUAUCUGCAAUACUUACUAGGGAAUAUAAGAUUAUUUAAAAAAAAAAAAAAAGCACAUAAAGGACCUCCAAAUGCAGGUGCUUCUGCUGUUUAGUCUCAUGUGAAAGCACAUAUAAUAUCAGCAUGAAAAAUAAGACUAACUGUAAUGAAACUGAAUUAUACUGUAUGCUUACUAUAUAGAGGAAUAUUAAGGUCCACUUUCGGUAGGCCUUGGUGCAUCUUAACUUGUUAAGGGAUUUUCAGGUGAAUGAAUUGAAGAUGAUACUUCCCCUGCAGUUGAACAACAAACCGGCUUGAGUAAGGCAAAACCACACUCAGUGCUUGUCUUAAACACAAAAAAAUGCAGCUGGUCAGGGAAAGGUGUAAAGUGCUGAGGGAAGUGAGUGUACUUCAGCUACCAUGAUGGUAUUAGUUGAGUGCUGAACCAUUUAGGUAAGUUUAUACUUGACUGUGUCUAUUCCUUCUGCGUUAGCACACUACUGACCCCUUCUCUAUUAGUAAACAUGAAAUGUGGGAGGAAAAAAAGGGGUGGUGUUAACAGCAGAGUCAUGAUGUAUGUAAUGAUUAUAUAAAAAAGCACUUCAUCUGCUAAUAGCUCAUAGAUGCACCAUGAAAAGGGAGUGGACCCAUAAGCUCGAAAGACGGUGGGCACAGGGGUCACUGCUGCUGCCUGGCGUGGUUCCUCAGCUCUGCCUGGUGCCACACUGAGCCACUUUCAGCUCUUUGCAGACACCUGGCGCUGAGCAUGCUUGCUGUCUCCUAACCUCUUUCCAGCACUUCGCGCGGGUCAGACCUGUCCGUCACAGGAGGUGGAAGCGGGGUGAUGGUGACCACCUGUCUGUGUUGGGGUUGCCCUUCAGCUCCUUCUGCUGGGAGACGUGUUGGCUGCGUUCUGCUUUUAUGCGGCUUCAGGCUCUUGCUGUAACAUUUCAUUGCCACCCUUGGCUUGAAAGCAGUACAGGAGAGAAUUGAAAUGCCUGCAGUUCUCUGGGGUUUGUUUGGAGAAGCCCUCUCCCGGUGUCCAUUCCCCUCCGCCUUCCCGCGCCGCAGCCCCGGGAAUCACCUCAGCGCCGGGGGGCUCCUUCCCGCCCGCUGCCCCCGCGGCGUUUAUCCCCGGCUGGUCUUUCCUCCCGGCGCUUCGGGCACGUCCCGGCUCCGCCGUGCUGCUGGGUCGCACCGGUCCCGGCGGGCUCCUCCCCGGUGGCCUCGGCGAG